AACGCGAAGAACCUUACCUGGUCUUGACAUCCACGGAAGUUUUCAGAGAUGAGAAUGUGCCUUCGGGAACCGUGAGACAGGUGCUGCAUGGCUGUCGUCAGCUCGUGUUGUGAAAUGUUGGGUUAAGUCCCGCAACGAGCGCAACCCUUAUCCUUUGUUGCCAGCGGUCCGGCCGGGAACUCAAAGGAGACUGCCAGUGAUAAACUGGAGGAAGGUGGGGAUGACGUCAAGUCAUCAUGGCCCUUACGACCAGGGCUACACACGUGCUACAAUGGCGCAUACAAAGAGAAGCGACCUCGCGAGAGCAAGCGGACCUCAUAAAGUGCGUCGUAGUCCGGAUUGGAGUCUGCAACUCGACUCCAUGAAGUCGGAAUCGCUAGUAAUCGUGGAUCAGAAUGCCACGGUGAAUACGUUCCCGGGUCUUGUACACACGC
rnacentral:rRNA from 2 species